GAUGAACGCUGGCGGCGUGCCUAAUACAUGCAAGUCGAGCGAACAGACGAGGAGCUUGCUCCUCUGACGUUAGCGGCGGACGGGUGAGUAACACGUGGAUAACCUACCUAUAAGACUGGGAUAACUUCGGGAAACCGGAGCUAAUACCGGAUAAUAUAUUGAACCGCAUGGUUCAAUAGUGAAAGACGGUUUUGCUGUCACUUAUAGAUGGAUCCGCGCCGCAUUAGCUAGUUGGUAAGCUAACGGCUUAUCAAGGCAACUAUGCGUAGCCGACCUGAGAGGGUGAUCGGCCACACUGGAACUGAGACACGGUCCAGACUCCUACGGGAGGCAGCAGUAGGGAAUCUUCCGCAAUGGGCGAAAGCCUGACGGAGCAACGCCGCGUGAGUGAUGAAGGUCUUCGGAUCGUAAAACUCUGUUAUUAGGGAAGAACAAAUGUGUAAGUAACUAUGCACGUCUUGACGGUACCUAAUCAGAAAGCCACGGCUAACUACGUG
rnacentral:rRNA from 1 species